rnacentral:piRNA from 1 species
CCAUUUGGUUGGCCAGUAGACAAGU